UGCGCGGCGGGCCGGGCGGGCCGGGCGGUCCGUCGCCGGGGUCCGGGGCCGUCCCGGCGGUUUCGCCGGGACGGUUCGAUGACAUCCCGUGCGCC
rnacentral:tRNA from 1 species